rnacentral:tRNA from 2 species
AAGGCUUUAAGUUAACAAAACUUAUAGCCUUCAAAGCUAUCCAUAAAAGUUCUAAUCUUUUAAGCCUUA